UCUCUGGUGGUCCAGUGGCUAAGACUCUGAGCCCCCAAUACAGGGGGCCCAGGUUUGAUUCCUGGUCAGGGAA
rnacentral:tRNA from 1 species